CCUACGGGAGGCAGUAGUGGGGAAUAUUGGACAAUGGGCGAAAGCCUGAUCCAGCCAUGCCGCGUGUGUGAAGAAGGCCUUCGGGUUGUAAAGCACUUUCAGUGGGGAAGAAAGCCUUGGGGCUAAUACCCUCGAGGAAGGACAUCACCCACAGAAGAAGCACCGGCUAACUCCGUGCCAGCAGCCGCGGUAAUACGGAGGGUGCGAGCGUUAAUCGGAAUUACUGGGCGUAAAGCGCGCGUAGGCGGUCUGAUAAGCCGGUUGUGAAAGCCCCGGGCUCAACCUGGGAACGGCAUCCGGAACUGUCAGGCUAGAGUGCAGGAGAGGAAGGUAGAAUUCCCGGUGUAGCGGUGAAAUGCGUAGAGAUCGGGAGGAAUACCAGUGGCGAAGGCGGCCUUCUGGACUGACACUGACGCUGAGGUGCGAAAGCGUGGGUAGCAAACAGGAUUAGAUACCCUAGUAGUC
rnacentral:rRNA from 1 species